GACGAACGCUGGCGGCGUGCCUAAUACAUGCAGGUAGAACGCUGAAGGAGGAGCUUGCUUCUCCGGAUGAGUUGCGAACGGGUGAGUAACGCGUAGGUAACCUGCCUGGUAGCGGGGGAUAACUAUUGGAAACGAUAGCUAAUACCGCAUAACAGUAGAUGUUGCAUGACAUUUGCUUAAAAGGUGCAAUUGCAUCACUACCAGAUGGACCUGCGUUGUAUUAGCUAGUUGGUGAGGUAACGGCUCACCAAGGCGACGAUACAUAGCCGACCUGAGAGGGUGAUCGGCCACACUGGGACUGAGACACGGCCCAGACUCCUACGGGAGGCAGCAGUAGGGAAUCUUCGGCAAUGGACGGAAGUCUGACCGAGCAACGCCGCGUGAGUGAAGAAGGUUUUCGGAUCGUAAAGCUCUGUUGUAAGAGAAGAACGAGUGUGAGAGUGGAAAGUUCACACUGUGACGGUAUCUGACCAGAAAGGGACGGCUAACUACGUG
rnacentral:rRNA from 1 species